GUUUUAUUUUUAUCAUACACUACCUGCAGUUGUCUUGAACAACAAUUAGUCUAACUUCAAACACCAUUCAAACCCUAUACAUUACAAACAUCAAUUAUUUUCUAUUGACGAUCCGAAAUAGAUAUUUCAUUGUCAGUAUUUCGCGAGGCAGUUUUUGAAGGUCCCCUGUUCGGGUUAAACUGCAGCUCUGAAUAUGUAGUUUGUGUUGAAUAGGACAGUUGUCAUUGUGAAACUAUUGUAAAUGUCAAGUCGUUGAAAUGAAAGCAUGUUUAGAAAGGAUAUUGAGAUCAUUAAAUUUCAUAUUGCUAACAAAUUCCUACGGCGAAAAUUUUCCUUGAAAUUUUUAAGUUAAAAGUCACUUGAAUCAUAAUUGAUACAAGAUUCAAAAUAUCUUAUCAAAAUUGGUUAUGAAUCAUGACUGUCGAUGCUAUAGUUUGUCGCUUUCCAUUGUCUGACCCUGAGUUUAAAUUUCAUGUUAACUUAAUCUCGACGUUCACCUUUGCCGUUUAUCAGAACUUAUACAGUCAGUGAAGUUCGUUGAAAAAUUCUAAUACUCCUUUCUAACUUUAUAUAUCAUCAAAUGAAAUCGAGAAUAUUUGAAAUUUCAAAGGCGGAAGUGUAUCAUGACGUUCACUGUAUUAAAAAGUACAAAACCUCACAAAACAAUAGUUUUCUCCAUUCGCAAUGUCGACAUAAUCAUAAAGCAUUUGUAAACAAUUGUAACAUAAAGAAAAUUUGUAGCAUUUGUAACAAAGGAAAAUAUGGCUAGUUUUAUGAAACAAUGAUGUAUCGUAUCGUAUCGUAUCGCCUAUGUAUUUCGUUUCGUUGCCCGAGUCGAAAAAUCAAAAAGUUAUCAUUCAAGGGUCCCCCGCACCUUAAAAGGAAACUACCUGCCUUUACUUCAUUGUUAUUCAUUUUCCCGCCUAAAAGUCAUGUGACUAAAUAGUAAUUCAAGCACUUUGUUUACAUUUGCCUUGAUUGUACAAAUGAAUUAAACGAUCAAGACGUCGUACAAAGCCUAGCGGGCUGCCCAUUUCGUAUAUAUGAUGUCAUCAUUCGUUCGACCCCAUGUUAGGAUUUUCAUUGGUUCAAUAAUUCCUCGAGAUUUUGAUUGGUAGGUUUGGGGAAAACUCCUUUCUGUUGUUUGUGAAGUUUACAGAACGUGCGAACGUGCCGAAGAAGAGGACCACUAACACAGAGGCAAGGGAUUCUUAUUGUCUCAGAUCUAUCUAAAUUUUCAUAGCGUGCAAACGAGACUUUCAACUUGAUUUGUACAUUUUUACCUUCGUGGCUAUCUUGGCUUCAGUAAAAGAGCCAUGGAUAACAAGCCUAAUAAAAGUUCGACCAACUUGAGAAGCUCAGAAAAUGAGGAAAACAAUGGUGAGGAAAACUUUCAAGAAAGUAUUGGUGAAGUUACCGUGGAAAUGGGAAAUGUUACUGCUACUCCCAUUCAAGAGAGCGGUAUGGAAGAAUCCAAUUGUUCGCCUUAUAUACCAGAAGAGCUUUAAAUCAACUUUGGCUCAAUUUAUCAGAACCUUUAUAUUUAGAAAUAACCCUUCACCUUAUAUGUUUUAUAGUUUUACUAUCCUCAUCUCAGUUAACUGUGAGUCGUUUAUCUCUAUUUAUAUAUUUAAGUAGCUAUCACAUUUUGUAACACAUUCAUUUACACUGAUGAUGGCAUAAGUUUGCCGAAACAUGCCUGUAAUAAAAAAGUUUGUUUUAUA